AAUAUGCUGAACAAGUGAGGGCUGGCCAAACUCCAGGAGAAUUGACCAUAAAAUGAGUUCUUGGAAAGAUUGAGUAAUUGCAGGAAGGUGAGGUUGGAGAGUUGAGGGGAUAUGAUACCAGAGAGCUGAAGUACACCAAACCAAGGAAAGCGAACCAAGCAAAAUGAGUACAGUUUGAUGAAUUUAGGUUCCACCCAUGAGUUCCUUAAUUGGUGCAAGUGACACCAUGCCAAGUACUGUGAGAUGAAUUUAGGUUCCAGACUGACAGAGCAGCAUGAGGGUCAGAGGUUGUGGAUUUCAAAGAUGGAAGUGCAUGUAUUGGUGUUAGCAACAAGAGCUCCUGGCUUGUUCAUGCUGCAAUCUAGAAUAAUUUGAAACUUGAGGAGGAUGAGCCAUGAAAU
rnacentral:lncRNA from 1 species